rnacentral:lncRNA from 1 species
UCCGAAAAGCCAUCUUUGCAUUGUUCCCGGGUCGUGCUCCGCGCUCACUGCAGCCACCUUCGCCGCCCACCGUCUCCUCCAACGCGGACUCCGGCAGCUUUCUCGCCAGAGUCCUCGAAACUCGACUAAUUCCUUACGCGUAGCACCAGACCACCGGCGUGCCCCACCAUGUCAGACGCGGCAGUGGACACCAGCUCCGAGAUCACCACCAAGGACUUGAAGGAGAAGAAGGAAGUUGUGGAGGAGGCAGAGAAUGGAAGAGACGCACCUGCCAAUGGGAACGCUCAAAAUGAGGAAAAUGGGGAGCAGGAGGCUGACAAUGAGGUAGAUGAAGAAGAGGAAGAAGGUGGGGAGGAAGAGGAGGAGGAGGAAGAAGGUGAUGGUGAGUAGUCUUGUUUUCUCAGGUUCCUUCCCUGGGAUGUACUGCCAGAAGGGAGAGGUUGGGUUUCUGGGCAAGUCGGCCAAUUUGAAUUGCAGUCCUUUUACGCCUCCUGUUGGCAGUUCCAUGUUUAAAGAGUUGUUGCUGUCUGACCUGUCUACUCUGGGGAGACAGUUCCCAGACAAGGGGUGGCAGUGGUUUAUAUGGUCCUUGAUUCUCUCCAGGUGAGGAAGAAGAUGGAGAUGAAGAUGAGGAAGCUGAGGCUCCUACGGGCAAGCGGGUAGCUGAGGAUGAUGAGGAUGAUGAUGUUGAGACCAAGAAGCAGAAGAAGACUGAUGAGGAUGACUAGACAGCAAAAGGAAAAGCUAACCUUACGCACCGUGACCUAUUCACCCUCCACUUCCCGUCUCAGAAUUUAAACGUGGUCACCUUCGAGUAGAGAAGCAGGCCCCCGCCCGCCCACUGCGGGCAGUGCCACCCACACAUGACAUGCGCUCUUCACCACCCCACCAAAACCACAACAUGAAUUGGCAACAUGGGAGGAGAAAAGAACCAGAACUUCCCAGGCCCUGCUUUUUUUCUUAAAAAUACUUUAAAAGGAAAAUUUGUUUGUAUUUUUUAUUUACAUUUUAUAUUUUUGUACAUAUUGUUAGGGGUCAGCCAUUUUUAAUGAUAACGGGUGACCAAACCAGCCUUCAGAGCGUUUUCUGUCCUACUUCAGACUUUACUUGUGGUGUGACCAUGUUCAUUAUACUCUCAAAGGAGAAAAAAAACCUUGUAAAAAAAACAAAAACAACAAC